AGUAGCCUGUGAUUCCAGAAGAAUGAAAGACAUGUGGAGCAGCUAUGGACCAAGUUAACUAGAAGCCAACUUAGAUUAGCCAUUCUUCAGCCACAGACAUGCAGCACGUGGUUGGGUGCAGCUUGCAAUCACAAAUCAAAACGGAAGAGGAAGAGGACAACUGUAUAAAGCAGCGUGAUUUAAGUUGAUCUGUGGGACAAAGAGUUAAGCCACAAAUAUUUGGGGAGAGAGGCAUUUUAUAAAACACUGAGAAGGCAAUAGAGAUUCUACUUCAUCCAGGACAGAGAGAAUAGGCCAUAAUUCUGGUGAAAGAAAAUAUUGAAAACUCCAUCUUGGCCUGAAGUGUUAAAUCAAGGAGUCUGGACCUGACUUGAAAUAAGGGGGAAAAAACACUUCAAGCCUAAAGACAAGCCGUUUGAAACUACCCCAUGGGAAGAAGAGAACUGCAAAGGUGUUCUCUGGAUAGAUUUUGAUCUCUGCAAGGAUAUGAACUAUAAUGAUCAGAGGGCAUUCUAAAAUGCUACAGAAAUUGUUAAACCAAGGAAUAACUCAACUGGACACCCUUUAUCUUUUCAAGAUUGAAUGCCGCAUUCCAGGGGCAGACAGCACUAAAGGAAGAUCUAAUUUUAAGCCAUCCUUCCAUCAGCCGAGGAUUCAAGCAAGCAGCCAUUUCCCACACAACCUGGUGGAGCAGCAUGGUUGCAAAAAAGGAAGCCGUACACUUGAGAUUCUCCCACUAGCCGGUCAGAGGAAACAAGAUUAGAUCUUAAAUUCUACCAUGAGGUAACUUGGACAUAAAGGCCAAAGAGGAAAGCAGUGACCAAAGAACAGAUAUAUGGGUGAAAAGGGUAGAAGAGACCAAGGAGCCACAUGAUCUCAUAGCCCCACCUCAACCUGGUUCAGCAGAAUGACAUGUGGGGAGUGGAUGUGAAAGAGCCCGGGGGGUGGGGAGUUACCAAUUCUCUUAUCUGACUCACCCUGGAAAAAACAGAGUAACUUAAAGAGAACAUAAUGAUUGAAGCAUUUUAAAGUGAACAGAAGAGAAUAAAGUUAUAUUUUCCCACUACACAAAAGGUAGGGGCUCACAAGCAUGACCCGAAAAUUAUGCCACAGCUUAAAGCUAUUAUAGUACUAUUCACAUCUGAAUAUCAGUUGCAUUUGAAUUCUUACUCUCGCUUUAAGCCUAAAAUUAAAUUGUUCCCCACAAAAUAGAAAACACAUCACUGUUCUGCACAAAGUAGAGAACGAUUACUAUACAUGUGUUUCCUAGUUGACUGGCCUAUGAAAUAAUAAAAAAGUUACCAGAAAUAUCUACA
rnacentral:lncRNA from 1 species